rnacentral:misc_RNA from 1 species
AAGUCGUAACAAGGUCUCCGUUGGUGAACCAGCGGAGGGAUCAUUACCGAGUUUAACUCGCCAACCCCCUGUGAACAUACCUCAGUUGCUUCGGCGGACCCGCCCCGGCGCCCUCGGGCCCGGACCAGGCGCCAGCCGGAGGACCCCAAACCACUGAAUUACCAUGUGUAUCUUCUGAGAAAAAGGCGAAAGCCGAAAAUGAAUUAAAACUUUCAACAACGGAUCUCUUGGUUCUG